rnacentral:rRNA from 1 species
UGGGGAAUUUUGGACAAUGGGGGCAACCCUGAUCCAGCCAUGCCGCGUGCGGGAAGAAGGCCUUCGGGUUGUAAACCGCUUUUAGUCGGGAAGAAAAGGCGUCGCCUAACAGGGGGCGCUGUUGACGGUACCGGCGGAAUAAGCACCGGCUAACUACGUGCCAGCAGCCGCGGUAAUACGUAGGGUGCGAGCGUUAAUCGGAAUUACUGGGCGUAAAGCGUGCGCAGGCGGUUCGUUAAGUUCGUUGUGAAAGUCCCGGGCUCAACCUGGGAAUGGCAAUGGAAACUGGCGGGCUCGAGUGUGGCAGAGGGGGGUGGAAUUCCACGUGUAGCAGUGAAAUGCGUAGAGAUGUGGAGGAACACCGAUGGCGAAGGCAACCCCCUGGGCUAACACUGACGCUCAGGCACGAAAGCGUGGGGAGCAAACAG